CAUCAGCUAGUUUCUCCUGUUGAUUUAAACCUUGUUGUAGAGAUGGAACAUUGGCUGUGGAUUAUUCUUGCUGCUCUUUUCUUUGAGUGUAAAGGAGAAGACAGAGUGAACCAGCCAACAGCUGAUGUCACUGCUGCUGAAGGACACACAGUUACACUUGGCUGUGAAUUUGAGACCAGCGUUACCUCGAAUGCUUAUUUGUUCUGGUACAAACAAGAAGAAAAUGACUUUCCCAAGUUUCUACUCCGACGCUACUCUGGAACAAAAAAUACUCAAGACUCUCAGGAAAACAGAUUUAAUGCUGAAGUCAACAACAAGUCAGUUCCUCUGAAGAUCCAGAAGCUUCAGGUGUCUGACUCUGCUGUGUACUACUGUGCUCUGAAGCCCACAGUGACAGGAAACACC